AGUGGGGAGAGUAGGGCGGCGGCGCGCGCAGGUGUGCAUGUGGGGGGGAGCGCGCAUGCGUGGCCGCGCGCGCCGGGGCCGUUGCCUGGUGCACGUGGCCGCGCGCGCCCGCAGGGCGGGCGCCGCGCUCGAGGCUCGCGCGUCCCCUCAGGGCCGCCCCCACCCCGUGAGGAGCCGCGAUCGGUGACAGGCUGUCACUUCCCACCAGCUAUGUCCUUGCUUCCAUUGCCACCCACAACUGCUGCCGCAUGUCCACAAUCUAUUGUGCUUCCCUCUGCAAACAGCAGGAGAGAAGAGCUGCCAUCCAUUAGUCCUCUGCUUUCACGUACAGCAAUGAGCUUUCUCAACUGCUGGGCAUAAAAGAUUAGCCUUUGAAGAUCCACAAUUUGAAAUAUGGGACAUAUGUGUGAAAGCCAGUUCGAAGCAGGAACAUGAUGAUCCAAACAGCAUCUGCCUGCUCCCUACUAGAAUCCCUUGUUUAGUCCACAAAUUACUAGGUAUUCCCAAAGUACAUGAUUAAGGUGUUCCGCUGAUGUAUCUAAAGUCAAGUCAUUGUAAAUUUUAACAACUGUACUGUUAAAAACAUUUCCACGAUCUGUUUAUCCUACCCUAAAACUAGCUAAUAUACAAAAAAGAGAGUAUAUAUUAAUUAGAUAUAUUAAUAUUAAACUCCCCACUUUUUAAAUAUAUUUAAUUUUGAGACACAAAAUACAAAUCUAUGUUUUCAUGUGAAAAGAGAAAGCAAAUCGUUAAUUUUUUUUUGGAGGAAGUAGUGUUCUUUCACAUAGUUACUUUCCUUUCUUUGUUUGCUUUCUUCGAUUUAGUGCUGUUGAUGUGCUGUUCCCAGCUUCCUAAUAAACCUUUUGUCUUAACUCUUCCUCAGUUCUCUUCCUGUUAGAAAAGUUACAUUAACACAAUACUUCCCCAAUUAUACAUCCUUUCACUCCAACGGACCAGGUACAAUUGUUUUAGCAGCCUUUAUUUUCUGCUUUUCGAAAGAGAGCCUCUCUUAUACAGUUCGACAGUGGUCUAACUUCUGGAUACGUUUCAUAAAAGGUCACAAAACAAUAGGUGCUUAUGUGCUUCUGCGGCUUAGCUCAAAGAAUUUGACAACAAUUCACAGGAUGAUGCUCUCUCUGCACUCCUUGCUUUAUAGAGAAAUGAAGAGGUAAAACUAAGCCCCUGAGUUAGAGUAGCUUUGAGCCCUAGGAAGGGUGAGAGGAGAGCACCCAGUAGCAUUUGCAGCUGAAUUGAUUUACUGUUUGUUCUUGCUGCACUGUUAACGUGUACGCUCAGGAGGAACAUGACUCAAAUAUUUGUGAAGAAGCAAGUAGCGGCAGCACAACUCUCAACUCCGUUUGAAACUCUUCCUCUGUGCAGCUACCCCAAAUCCUGUGUAGUUUCAUUACAAAGAGAAAAAAAAAGGCAUCUAGGUGGUAUAAAGCCUUGUCGGUACGUGAGUUACCUGCUGUUACACAAGAUUUUCAGAAAUGACAUCUGAUGCUCAGACCUAAUAAGCAACUGUUUACUAUCCCUGAUACUAUAACAAAAAAUAAUAAAUAC